ACAAGAAAUACGAAGACUACUCGUAUUUCAACGUUACUUUUAGCUGCGGGGAAGCCCAGGUUUGUCGUACUUGUCCGAGUGGCGGCCGAAUUGUGUGUGGCUCUAGCGCGAGAAACGGCGAUCAAUCUGAAUUCGAAAAUGUUUGUGCUAUGAACCGAUACAAUUGUUUGACUGGAAGCGACUACAGAAUAAUCGCAAAUGGCUUUUGUCCAGGCAGAGGUUAACCGGUUUAACUUGGAUUUACAAACCUUUCAUGAUAAAAUUAUUACCUACAUAUGUAUGUAAUAGUAAAAAAUUGUGCCUACAUGUUUUUUCAAUUUUCUUGAUGAUAAUAAAAUAUUAAUGUUA
rnacentral:lncRNA from 1 species